UAGCAUGUAUACUCGGGUCAACACAACCCCAGUCAUUGACGAACUGAAGUUUCUCUGCGAAGUUUUCAAAUCUUUACUGUUUCAGACUACAAACUGAGAUAAUUUAUAUUCUCUACCCAAAUGGAUUUCCGUAUGAAUGUUUGCCUGUUCCUGCUUUUUUUUGUCGCAUAUUCUGCGGUUGAUGGCCGUAAAAGUGAUUCCGCAGAAGUACUCUUUUGUCAGCAUGAUCUUCGUGGUAUGUGCCUGCCUUCAGGCAUAGAUUGUUUUGGUAGGACAGAAGACUGUCCGGGUAUUUGUUUUGGCAACGAACAUUGCUGUUGCCUAAAGUAUUAACCCGCCUGGAAAAUAAAAUGGAAAUGGCAGUUAUGAAAUGUCCAUGCAGUUUACUUUGAUUAAUAAUAAAAACG